GAGUCUCACUUAGUAUAUGGGAUUUUGCUGGACACGACAUAUAUUACUCAACCCAUCAGGUGUUUCUGACGUGGCGAGCUAUUUAUGUGAUUGUCUUUGAUCUCAGUAGAAGAUUGGAUGAAGUCGUUCCCCCUGAAUCCAGAGACAAGAAUUAUGAAAUGGUUAAAGGAGGUGCCAAAUCAGAACUGACAUGUUUAGAGUUCAUCAAUUUCUGGUUGUAUUCCAUCUACGCCCAUGCUGUGGCGCCCUCUUCAGUCAUAACUAAGAAUAUGUCUAAACCUGACCAGGAGUCUCCACCAAUAUUCAUCGUUGGAACCCAUCGAGAGAGUUUGAAAGGAGA